GCCCGCUCAGAAACUUAAAGGAAUUGACGGGGGCCCGCACAAGCGGUGGAGCAUGUGGUUUAAUUCGAUGAUACGCGAGGAACCUUACCUGGGCUCAAAUGUAUGUUGACGUAUUCUGAAAGGGAUACUUCUUCGGACAAUAUACAAGGUGCUGCAUGGUUGUCGUCAGCUCGUGCCGUGAGGUGUCGGGUUAAGUCCCAUAACGAGCGCAACCCCUAUCAUUAGUUGCCAUCAGGUCAAGCUGGGGACUCUAAUGAAACUGCCUACGCAAGUAGUGAGGAAGGUGGGGAUGACGUCAAAUCAGCACGGCCUUUAUAUCCUGGGCUACACACACGCUACAAUGGGAAGGGACAAUAGGUUGCGAAGCCGCGAGGCGGAGCCAAUCCAGCAAAACUUCCCUCAGUUCAGAUUGCAGGCUGCAACUCGCCUGCAUGAAGUUGGAGUUGCUAGUAAACGCAGGUCAGCCAUACUGCGUUGAAUACGUUCCCGGGGCUU
rnacentral:rRNA from 1 species